GUCCUAGCUGUAAACGGUGCACGUUUGCUGUGAGAGGUGUCGAAUCCUUUCGUGGCGAAGCUAACGCGUUAAACGUGCCGCCUGGGAAGUACGGUCGCAAGAUUAAAACUCAAAGAAAUUGACGGGGCCUGCACAAGCGGUGGAGUAUGUGGCUUAAUUCGAUGCAACGCGAAGAACCUUACCUGGCCUUGACAUGUAUGUAGUAGAAGGGUGAAAGCCUGACGAGGUAGCAAUACCAGCAUACACAGGUGCUGCAUGGCUGUCGU
rnacentral:rRNA from 1 species